AAAAGAUUAGUUAAAAAAUAACACAAGUAUGUCAAACUUAUAUUAUUAAUAUAAUAUUAAUAUCUUUUA
rnacentral:tRNA from 1 species